GAAAAAUCAAGAAAUGAAAGAGUGCCAGGAUUUUUCUUGCCAAUAUAACUUUUUAGAAUUGUGCUGAGUUGCUUUUGCUAUAAAACCAGACCAAUUAGUUUAUUAUGUAUUCUCUAAGUAAUGACAUUUCAUAGAGGAUUUUGUAGUUCUUUUGGUUCAGUGAGGUCAGGAACUUUAAAUUAGAAUUAUUAGAACUGGAAGGCAUCCUCUUACUUACUUUCUAAGUGAGGGAACUAAAGUCCUGAGAAAUCAUGAUUUAUCCAGGUUCACACAGCUAAUAAUGAAGGUUAGAAGAGAAUCAUGGCCUCCUGGCAGUCAGUUCAGUGAUCUUUGUAAAAGACUUUUUGGAUUUAUUCUCACCACCAUCAUGCUAUGUGCAAUGCCCAUAAUUUAUUGCAUUGGGCCCAGUUAGCAAAUUAUAAGUUUAUGUUUAAUUUCCAAAAGCUGGAGGAACAUUUAGAAUUAGGAAUAUUGACAGUGACAAAAAAAGGAGAUGGCAAGAAUUUUUGCUUAGGAUAGAAGAUAUCCCUUGAUUAGACUCUGGUCCUUCUCCUCUCUAGAAGGAAUUCCAUUGUUCACUAUUCUGUAGGACAUAAUUCUGCCUUCCUGAAGGUUCUUCCUUGUUUAUUUUCCUCCAAGGUCAACUUAUGUGGACAUUGGGGAAUAUGUCGUCCUUUGAGGUUAUGUAACCUUUCUUUCUUUCUUUUUGUCCCUGCAGUUUUGGCUGUGUGAGCAUUGUUUGAAGGGUGAAAGGCUUAUAGGCAAGGGUUAUGGGUUUUUUGUCAAUGUUAUUCCCUCUGAAACUUAAUUUGGCCCUCAUCUAUCGUUUUGUAGUUAAUUCCAUGUGCUAGUAAUAGAGUGAGUACAUGUCCCAGUCAGGCAGAGGGAGUCAUAGUUUAUAUAUAUCUCUUAUGCAUGGCAAGUAAUAAUUCCCUCUUUCACUCUCAAAACUGUCCCAGUUUGGACAAUAAAUUAUAUGGUAAUUCUAACCAAAAAGCACACCAAAAAAAUCCCAACCUAUUUUAUUUCUUUGCUUCCUUACUUCUGUUCUUCCCUCUCUUAUCUUUCUGGGUGCUGUCAGUAUGGCCAUCUGAAAUAGGUUUCAUGGGAAGUAACAUACUUAACCUGAUCUACAGUAAGGCUGAUUUCCCUCUGUUUACCUGAGAAAACCUAACGGCCAUUUUUGCUCACAGCUUUUUGCCCUUUUCUCUUACUGUGUGAAAUCCAGAAGCAGUCAGCGUUUCUAAGCCUUGGGGCCGCCAAAUUUCUGGAUUCUCUCUUCCCUCUCAUUUCUGCUCUCCAGUCUGUUAGUUCUUGCCUGUUUACAUUCCUUGCUUGUAAAUUCUCAAGAAAAGCAGCAAGUAAUAUUGUUAUUCUAGUAUUCUGUUUUCCAUCUCCUUUACCCUACAGCUGUACACUUGGCAGACACCAUUGUGCCUUUGAAGCUAUCUCAGGCAUUUAAAAAAAAAAUUGAGGCAUAUAAUAUUUUUAUUACAUUUUUGUGACUACAUGACAUAACUAUCUUCCCAUCCUUUACUCAGUUUCUUUAUUUCCUGCUGCUUGGCUGCUAAGCAGUUGCCAUGUAUUUUAGAUUUUCUGUUUGGUUUGUACCCCACUUAAAGAUACAUUUUUCAUGUUAGUGAAAACUACCUGCUGUAAUAAAUGGACUCCAAAAAAUAUGAUAGACUAAACCUAAGUAAAAUGUAUUUAUUGCUAAUAACCAGUGUAUUGAAGGCAUUCCUGAUUGAUAGGUGACUUUCUGUAACGUGGGCCUUUGAGUCCUCCAGCAGGUGGGGAAAGAGCAGGAACACACCUCACGUGCUUCUGAAAAGUUCAGGUUGAACCUGAGAACUGACAGUCCGCCACUUGCACUGACAUCCUUCUGGGGAAAACUGUGCACAGGGCCACACCUGGUAUAAUGGGCGAGGGAAGGUUUGGAAAUGUCGACUCUACAUAUAGGCUAGGCAGCCACUUCUCAGUGACAGCUCCACACUGUGACACAGGGGGAAGGUAGAGUUUGGACAGUGUUAAUUGUCUACAGGUUAACAUGGUUAAUGGCACAGCUUUUAUAUUGCUUUUCUUUUUUGUCUUCAUGUUACUUCCUUUUCUUUGUGUUAUACUCUUUCAUGCCUUUUGAAAAAACAUUUCAGUAUUUAAAACAAAAAAAGAAAAACCACAAUGAUAUUGCUAUCUCUGUGGGAAUGUUCAAAGUAAAAGCAACUAACUGCUUUUUAGAUUAUUCUGAUGAAAUUAAGAUUAUCUCUGGCCAUCACAGAGAUAAGUAAGUCUUUUUUUUAAGUUUUUUAUUUUAAUUCCAGUAUGGUUAACAUACAGUGUUAUAUUAAUAUGUUUCACGUAUACAAUACAGUGAUUCAACAAUUCUAUAUACAUGACUCAGUGCUCGUCAAGAUAAGUGUACCCUUUAAUCCCCAUCACCUAUUUCAUCCAUUCCCCCACUCAUCUCCCCUCCGGAAACCAUCAGUUCUCUAUAGCUAAAAGUCUGUUUCUUGGGUUGUCUCUCUUUUUAUUCCUUUGUUUUGUUUCUUUCCAAAUCUGAGUGAAAUCACAUGGUAUUUGUUUCUCUGACUGACUGACUUUGCUUAGCAUUAUAUUCUCUAGCUCCAUCCAUGUUGUUGCAAAUGGCAAGAUUUCAUUCCCUUUGACAGCUGAAUAAUAUUCCUGUGUGUGUGUGUGUGUGUGUGUGUGUGAGAGAGAGAGAGAGAGAGAGAGAGAGAUAUGUCACUUCUUUAUCCACUCAUCUAUUGAUGGACACUUGGGUUACUUCCAUAACUUGGCUCUUGUAAAUAGUGCUGCAAUAAACAUAGGGGUACAUGUGUCCUUUCAAAUUAGUGUUUUUUUAUUUUUUGGGUAAAUAUCCAGUAGUGCAAUUAUUGGAUCGUAGGGUAGUUCCAUUUUUAAUUUUUUGAGGAACCUCCAUACUGUUUUCCACAGUGGCUGCACCAGUCUGUAUUCCCACCAACAGUGCACGAGGGUUCCUGUUUCUCCACAUCCUUGCCAACACAUGUUACUUCUUGUGUUUUUGAGUUCAGCUAUUAUGACAGGUGUAAAGUGAUAUCUAAUUGUGGUUCUGAUUUGCAUUUCCCUGAUAAUGAGUGAUGUUGAGUAUCUUUUCAUGUGUCUCUUAGCUACAUCUGGAUAUCUUCUUUGGAGAAAUGUCCAUUCAUGUCUUCUGCCCAUUGUUUAAUUGGGUUAUUUGUGUUUUGAGUGUUGAGUUGUGUAAGUUCUUUAUAUAUUUUGGAUGCUGACCCAUUAUUGGAUAUGUCAUUUGCAAAUAUCGUCUCCCAUUUAGUAGAUUGUCUUUUACUUUUGUUGAUUGUUUCCUUCACUGUGCAGAAGUUUUUUAUUUUGAUAUAGUCUCAAUAGUUCAUUUUUGCUUUUAUUUCCCUUGCCGCAGGAGACAUAUCUAGAAAAAAAUGUUGCUACAGGCAUGUCAGAGGAGAUAAUUUAAGUCUUAAAAGAUAAAGAUCCCUGAUAUCACCAUUUAUAUUCAAUAUAGGUUAAAACAGAGAUCUUACCAGAGAUGCUAGCCAGCAGAAUAAGAUGGGCAGUGGGGGAGGGGGGAGACAAUCAUAAAAGAAAAGGUGUAAGAAUGGAAAGGAAGAAAAACAAAUUGGCAAAUUGGUGUAAUUGUCUAUGUAGAAAAUUUCCAGAACUCUACAGCUGAAUUCCUAGAAUUAACUGGAGAGUUUAGCAAGGGUUUUGGAUACUGAAGCAGUAUAAGUGGGCCAGUUACAUUUCUAUAGACCAGAAAUGACAACAAUAAACCGGAGAAUAUAAUUUUAAGAACAUUGUAUUCUGAAAUUAUUAACAUCCCAUGUGGCCAUGGGAUUUUUUUUUUCAAAACUAAGAAAUUGACAUUGGUACAAUAAUGUUACCUCACUAUGCCUUUAUUCAGAUUUUCUCAGUUUUUCUACUGAUACCCUUUUUCUGUUUCAGGAUCAAGUCUGGGUAGCUAUAUCUCUUUAGUCUACCCCAAUUUGCAGCUAUUCCUUGCUCUUUUCCUUUCAGAGCCCUGACACUUUUGAAGAGUAGGAGUGAAGUUUUUGAUAGAAUGGACCUCAUGAUUUUUAUCAUAUCAUACAACAUAACAUUAUUGGUAAUGUUAACCUGGACCACUUGGUUAAGGUGGUGUCUGCCAGGUUUCUCCACAGUGGAGUUACUAUAGUAAAUGUAAUUUUAAAACUACACAAUUUACAAUAUAGAAUGAAAUAUAGAAUACAAUAUAAAUGACAUUUGGAUAAAUCUAACAAUGUCUGUGACCUUUACUGAGAAAGUUAUAAACUUCUGUUGAACAUUAACUAUGAUCCAAUUAAAUGGAGAGAAAUGCUGUAUUAAUAUAUUGGGAGACUAAAUGUUGCAAAGAUGUUAAUUCUCUUAAUGCACUUAGAAUCAAAUUCCUAACAGAUCUGGGGGGUUUUAAUAUUACUACUACUACUACUACUACUACUACUACUACUGAUUAUUAUUGUUAUUAUUGUUGUUAUUUUGGUGAUGACUGACAUUAUAAUUUUAGAUUUAUAUGAAGAGGAGUGGUCCAACACACAUAUGAAAAGAUACUCACCAUCACUCAUUAUCAGGGAAAUGAUGCAAAUCAACACUACAAUGAGAUAUUACCUCAGACCUGUCAGGAUGGCUAAAAUCAACAACACAAGAAACAAGUGCUGGUGGGGAUGUGAAGAAAAAGGAACCCUUGUGCACUGUUGGUGGGAAUACAAACUGGUGCGGCCACUGUGGAAAAUAGUAUGGAGGUUCCUCAGAAAGUUAAAAAUAGAACUACCCUACAAUCCAGUAAUUGCAUUACUGGGUAUUUACCCAAAAAAUACAAAAACACUAAUUCACAAGGAUAUAUGCACCCAUACAUUUAUUGCAGCAUUAUUUACGAUAGCCAGAUUAUGGAAGCAUACAUCAAUAGAUAAAUGGAUAAAGAAGAUGCACUUUAUAUAUAUAUAUAAAAAACGCAUCCAUAUAUAUGUGUGUGUAUAUAUAUAUAUAAAAUAUUCCAUUAUUAUAUAUAUUAUAUAUUACAAUAUUCCAUUGUAUAUAUUAUAUAUAUACACAUGUAUAUAAAAUAUUUCACUAUAUACAUAUACCUUAGCUCCAGGCAUAUAUAUGUAUAUAGUGGAAUAUUACUCAGCCAUAAGAAGUGUGAAAUCUUGCCAUUUGCAACAACAUGGUUGGAGCUAGAGAGUAUAAUUCUAAGUGAAAUAAGAGACAAAUACCACGUGAUUUCACUCAUAUAUAGAAUUUAAGGAAAAAAACAAAUGAACAAAGGAAAAAAAAGAGAGAGAGACAAAGCAGACUCUUAGUUAUAGAGAACAAACUGAUGAUUACCAGAGGGUGAUGGAUGAUGAUAGGUGAUAGGUGGUGGGGAUUAAGGAGACCGCUUGUUGUGAUGAGCACCCCUGGUGAUAAAUGGAAUUGUUGAAUCACUAUAUUGUACAACUGAAAUUAAUAUAAUGCUAUGCUAACUAUAUUGGAAUUAAAGUAAAAACUUAAUAAAAAUAAAUGAAAAAGAAAAGAAAAUGUCAUGUGACUAUGUUCACAGAUGGAAAAAAGACAUUAGACGAAUUCUAUAGAACAUAUAUUAAAAAGUCAAUCAAUAAAAUAUUGGUAUAAUUUUUUUUAAAUGAUGGUCCAAAAAUUGCAAAGACACUCCUGAAGAACAGUGUUUUUCCUGCCUUAUGUAAUGAUUUAAUAUAGAACUAAUUUAAACCAGUGUAAGGAUCUACAUGUUGGUCAGUGGAAAGAAUAGAGAAUUCAGAAACAGAUCUAUUUAUAUACAGAACUUAGAUUUAUGACAAAACUGGUAUUGUAGACCACUGGGGAGAGAGAUGGAUAGAUUUUUCAGUGUAUGGUGCUGAGGUGUAAGAGAUUGCUCAGAUGAAAGAGAAUAAUACCAGAUUCCUGUCUCACAUCAUACACAAAAUGGGAAAUGGCUAAACUAUAACUUAUAAAUUAAUUAUAAGUAAACUUAAUUAUAAAAUUAGAAGCAGAACUCAGGAAGGAAGUUGAAGAAAAAAACAAAGCUACCAAAGAAAUGAAAACAUAAUAGGAGUGUAAGAGAAAAGAGAUUGUAUGGAGAGGUCAUGGAGAUUAGAAAUGAAGAAGUAAGGGGUACCUGAGUGGCUCAGUUGAUUAAGUGUCCAACUCUUGAUCUCAGUUCAGGUCUUGAUCUCAGGGUCGUAAGUUCAAGCCCCAUGUUGGGCUCCACAUUGGGUGUGGAGCCUACUUUAAAAAAAAAAAAGAAGAGUAGAAAUGAGAGAAGUGAGCCAAGUCGAAUACACAUUUAAAAAGAGUGAUGUAACACCUUUAGUUUUAAAAUAUUAGUGUUUACAAUAUGCCAGAAGUGCAUCAUUCAUUAACUUGUCUCAUCCUGCUGACUUAGGUGCCAGAAGUCAUAAAGUGAUCUAUAAAUUACUAUAAUGAUCUAUCUACUGACAACUCAAUUGCUCAAUCACUUGUGGAAAGCAAAGAAUUGGAAACCACCUGACUUGCAGAGGGAUUUAUUAUCACUUUGUCAGUUUGGGGAGGUUUAUCAAAAAGGGUUAAUUAAGAUUUAUCAAAAGACUAUUAAAACUUAUUACUCUUUUGCUUACAGAUACCUUGUGUAACCCAAAAUACUUAGGAAGGGCUGUUUAGAAAGAUUACAAAUUUUAAUACAUAUUUUCCAAUAUACAGUGAGUUUUUAGAGUAAUUUUUGUCUUAACCCAAAAUACUUAGGAAGGGCUGUUUAGAAACAUUACAAAUUUUAAUACAUAUUUUCCAAUAUACAGUGAGUUUUUAGAGUAAUUUUUGUCUUAACAUGUGUCUGAAAUGUAUUUUUUAUCAAAACCUUGCAGCUAUAAAUGUAAAUCACUCAGUUUAAGGAAAAUGGUUGUCAUUUAAUCUAAUUGACAAAGCUAGUCUUCAGUUUCAAGUUUAUCUUUCAAAUCAGACUUCCUCUGUGGGUAAAAGUCCAACUUGAUUUUUCAGCUCAAAUAAAUAUGUUAAUAUAUGUCUCCAUGACAACCAUCACACAGCUCAAUUCUAAUUCUAAUAUAGAUAAAUAGAUAAGGCACAGAGCCUUACUAUGCGUUGCCUGGAUACAGUAAGAUACUGCUGCCUUCAAUAUUUCUUUGCUUUGUGUUCACUAAAGUCUUCCAAAGUUGAGAUGAUUCUUUUACAAUAAUAAGGGUAUGGAAGAUGUAAGGUCCUUAAGUAAAAAUGCCCUCAUUACUACUUCAUUCUACUAUGUAUCUGAACUUAAAAUAUACUAAUGUAGGCCCACACAGUCCAUUUCUUAAUAAAAUAUAUAUGUUAUUUGUAUGUAUACAUGAUGGGGGAUGAACAAAUCCUUAUUGUACUGCUUUGAUUAAAGGGAGGAUUUACAGGUUUGACAUCCUGGAGAGUUUUUAUAUUCCAGGGAAAUGCACUAGUUGGGAUUAAUGAGUGGCAUGCAUUUCUUUUGUAACGUGGGAAAAGUGAUUGUGAAGGAGGGGAGGAGGAAAUGAGAAAGAGGCUGGCUUGAUACCUUAGCUACGGGUAUAUUUGCCGAAAGACCAGUAGUAGAAAAGAUGGACGUUGAUGAUCUGGAAUUUGAUUGCCUUAAAACUCUUUGUGCCAACAUACGUCUUGGAAAGUCUUCACGUACCUCAAUUUAUAGACCACUGGUAUAGAAGACAGGCAGAGCAGAUCCAUGAUAUGUAUAAUUGCAGACACGACAACCAACCUAAUGCAAUAAAAUUAAUGUUUAGAGAUUAAACUUUUCUAAAAUAUAAAACAACUAGAAUCUGAAGAUCCUAAGAUCUGAAGGGCAUACUGCGUCACUGGGUUUUUAUAGUAAAGUUGCUGGACUUGAGAAGUCAAGAAAGAUUUUGGGAGGGAGCCAGGUGAAUAGGUUGAGUUAUUUAUAAGGAGGAAAAUUAUGUCAGCUUCAGAUUUCAUUCAGUGCAAGAUUUCAUACAACGGAGUGUACUUAAAAGAUUUUCAAGAAAAGAAUACAUAAGAAAGAACUGAUCUAUUUCUCAAGUCUUUGGGUUUUCCAAGAACUAGGAAAUAAUCACAACUUUUCAGCAAUCUCAUUGAUAGGAAGGAUCUAAGACAAGAUGUUUGAGAAAAUCAACACAUAAAUAUACUUGUUUUACUGCCAGUUUGACUUCUUAAAUGUAAGGAUGAACCAGUAAGUUUACAUGAUACCAAUCUCCAAAGAUGAGUUCAUGAUGAAGUAGAACCUUGGGCAUCGACUUUGCUGAUAACUGUGCUAUGAGUGCUAUUAAUCAAAAAUCUUGCCCAGAAACAUUUACUUUACUUUUUUCUAGGCAAAACAAAUCAAAUCUGUAAAAGACCUUGUAUGUUUAAGUUAGAAAAAGUCUGAAUAUGUUUGGGUUGGUGAGAAAAUAAAAAAUACACCACCCCUGUCAAUGUGGAACAAAAUUACAUAGUUUGUGAGCUGUGGUAAAAAAAAAUGAGUAUCCUACAUUCCUUUUUGAAAAGCCAUCUGAAGAAGUAUGUUAUAUAUAUAUAUUUUCAGUUGUAAAAAGAUCAGUGUCUAAACCAUGUUUUCUACUGCCUGUAUACUCUGGUAUUUCUAUUCUUGACUUCUAUGGCUGACAGCAACAGAUAAGAAAAAUGGAAGACUGCAAUAAGUUUAUCUACAAGAGAGCCAACAGUGCUCUUUGCUUCUCAUACUUCAGCCAGAGUGUUGAAUAUCGAGGCCAUAAAUUGGGUUCUUUGGUUUGAUUGUCUGGAGGCUGCCAAUUCAUAUUUACAGAGCAGAUAGACCUGCCAAAUAAAUGAUGAAGGGUUAUUAAUUUUGCUUCUCCCGGGGGGGGGGGGGGGAAGAUGGUAUAGAAACUUCUUGAGAAGAAAGUGCCUAUGUAGGAAAUAAAAAUCCAGAAAAACUUACAGAUAUCUAGAAGAAAAAAAAACAAAACACCAAAAUGGAGUGAUGUUUAGCCCAAGAUCAACAAUUAGAAGAAAGAGCUCACAGGUGUUUUGUUUCUACAUGUGUUAUGAUGAAGAAGAAUUUGAUUUGAGUAAGUUACCUUUACCCAAAAGUGUGGUCUUGCUGUGACACCAUGGAUAAGAUUUCUUCAGAAAAUGUAGAAAGAACUAACUAAAGAAUUAUUAAUGAGCCUAGGGCUCUGUCUCUUACCAAUGACUAAGUAGAAUUUAGAGUUUAUUUCAGUGAGAAAAUGUCCAUCCUUCAGGCAGGUAGGAAGAGACCAGAAGCAGAAGAAGAGUACAGGCUGGCCAGUGGUAUUAAUAAUAAAGGGAAGAGGAGGAAGAGAGGCAGAUGAGGGGGAAACUGGAAGAAAAAGUGGUAAAAACAAAAAGGCCGCCUAAUACUGAUGAGGCAAAGAAAAUCAAAGAAAUCACAGAAACAAAGUAAUGAAAACACUUUAAGUGAAUAAGAAAAUAAUGUUUACUAAUGAAGGGAAGUUGGCUCACCAGUGACCACCAAUGUAGAAAUGUAUUGUGAAAGAUACCAAGGAAGAGGGUUAUGCCAGUAGCAACCUUAAUAAAGCAGAAGAAAGGCUUUAGGAAGAGGACAAAUGUGACUAAGAAGAGUAUAUGAAGAAAGUUAAGGAAAAGCAUAUGGAGAAAAGACUUAAAAAAAGAGAAGCCAAGAAGAUAGCAGAGUGGGAGAACCCUGAGCUUAUUACCCUGUUCCACAUUAGCAACUAGAUAUCAUCUACAUCCUAGGCAAUAAACCAGAGAGUGAUCUGAAGACUGGCAGAACAAACUCCACAACUAAAUAUAGAGAAGAAGCUGCAUCUGAAAGGUUAGGAAGGUUAGAAAGAUGGAGAGAGGCCGCCUGCAAGAGGGAGGGAGCUGCAUGCAUGGAUAUGGCAGAGAAAUGGGCUCUUACAACAGGGAGCUCACAAAGGGAAGACUAAUCCCCAUUGCGUUUGGCUUUAAAAACCCGAGAGGCUGAAUUGGAGUUUGUAAAACCAGUGGGACUUGGAGCCUGGAACUUCAAAAUCAGUGGACUUAGUGGGUGAUCCAAGAGGGUGAGUGAUAGCUGGGUCUCCACCCUUAACGAGACAGCAGCCUGCACAAAACCAGGGGCAAACAGGAGACAGAUCUGUUUAUACUGAUUUUGGAGCAUGUUGGGGGACUUCUCUAAAAACAAGGGAGCUGGCAGGUGCCAUUUUCCUCCCCCAUCCCCCAGCAAAAACAGAGCCACCUGCAGGAGGCAGCACUGCACAGACACUAGCUUCCUAACCUGCUAGCGGUGGGCCAUGCCCAUGAUUUCUCCUGAGGACUCACCCAUUCUAAGCCUGCUAGCCUUGGCCCUGGGCUCAGGGCAAAUUUUGUUAAAGCCCUGCACACAGCCUGCGCAGCUGCUGAGUGCACAGCUGCUGGUACAUGCUGUACCCAACUGCUGCACUGUGUCCAGCCUUGUGCCCCCAGCUGCCCUGGUGCAUAGACCCCACAUUGUCUAAUGGUCUAAAACCUUUGGGAUGCAGCAAAAGCAGUUCUGAAAGGGAAAUUUAUGCCAAUAUAGUCCUACUUCAAGAAGCAAGAAAAAUCUCAAAUAACCUAACUUUAGACAUUUGGAGCUAGAAGUAGAGCAACAAACAAAGCCUAAAACCAGCAGAAAAAAGGAAAUAAUAAAGAUUAGAGAGAAAUAAAUGAUAUAGAAACUUAAAAAAUACAAUAGAAUGGAUCAAUAAAACCAGGAGCUGGUUCUUUGAAAAAAAUCAAUAAAAUUGAUAAACCUCUAACCAGUCUUACCAAGAACAAGAGAGAAAGGACUGAAAUAAAAACACCAAUGAGAGAGGAGAAAUAACAACCAAUACCACAGAAAUACAGUUAUAAGAGAAUAUUAUGAAAAACUAUAUGCCAACAAAUUGGACAACCUAGAAGAAAUGGAUAAAUUCCUAGAAACAUAUAAACUACCAAAACUGAACCAAGAAGAAAUAGAAAAUUUGAACAGACUGCUAACCACCAAAGAAAUUGAAUCAGUAAUCAAAAAACUCCCAAAAAAACAAAAGUCCAGGAUGAGAUACCUUCACAGGAGAAUUCUACUAAACAUUUAAAGAAGAGCUAAUACCUAUUCUUCUCAAACUAUUCAAAAAAAAAGAAAUAGAAAAGAAAGGAAAACUUCCAAAUUCAUUCCAUUGGCCAGCAUUAUCCUAAUACCAAAACUGGAUAAAGACUAAAAAAGAGAACUAUGGGCCAGUAUCCCUGAUGAACAUAGAUGCAAAAAUCCUCAAAAAAUACUAACAAACUGAAUCCAACAAUACAUUAAAAAAAUCAUUCACCAUGAUCAAAUGGGAUUUAUUCUUGGGUUGUAAGGGUGGUCUAAUAUUUGCAAAUCAAUCAGUGUGAUACAUCACAUCAAUAAGAGGAUAAAAACCAUAUGAUCAUUUUAAUAGAUGCAGACAAAGGAUUUUACAAAGUACAACUUCCACUCAUGGUAAAAACCCUCAAUAAAGUAGGUUUAGGGGGAACAUAUUUCAACAUAAUAAAGGUUAUAUAUGAAAAACCCAUUUAACAUCAUCCUCAAUGGGGAAAAACUGAGAGCUUUUCCCCUAAGAUCAGGAAGAAGACAAAGAUGGCUACUCUCACCACUUUUAUUCAACAUAGUAGUGGAAGUCCUAGCCACAGCAAUCAGACAGCAGAAGGAAAUAAAAAGCAUCCAUAUUGGUAAGGAAUAAGUAAAACAUUCACAAUUUGCAGAUGACAUGAUAGUAUAUAUAGAAAACCCAAAAGACUUCACAGAAAAAGUGCUAGAACUAAUACACAAAUUCAGUAAAACUGCAGGAUGCAAAAUCAAAGUACAGAAAUUCUAUACACCAAUAAUGAAGCAGCAGAAAGAGAAAUUAAUAAAACAAUCACAUUUUCAGUUUCAUCCAAAAUAAUAAGAUAGCUAGGAAUAAACCUAACCAAAGAGGUGAAAGAACUGCACUCUGGAACAACUCAUAAAACAUUGAUGAAAGAAAUUGAAGAUGACACAAAGAAAUGGAAAGACAUUCCAUGCUUAUGGAGUGAAAGAACAAAUAUUGUUAAAAUGUCUGUACUACCCAAAGCAAUCUACACAUUUAAUGCAAUCCCUACUAAAAUACCAACAACAUUUGUCAGAACUAGAACAAACAGUCCUAAAAUUUGUAUGGAACCACAAAAGACCCCAAAUAGCCAAAGCAGUCUUGAAGAAGAAAAGCAAAGCUGGAGGCAUCAUAAUUCCAGACCUUAAGUUAUAUUACUAAGAUGUAAUAAAACAGUAUGAUACUAGCCAAAAAUAGACACCUAGAUCAAUAGAACAGAAUAGAAAACCCACAAAUAAACCUACAACUAUAUGGUCAAUUAGUCUUCAACAAAACAGGAAAGAAUGUCCAGUGGGAAAAGGACAGUCUCUUUAAUAAAUGGUGUUGGGAAAACUGGACAGCUACAUGCAAAAACAAACAAACAAAAAAAACUGUUCCUUAUACCAUACACAAAAAUAAAUUCAAAAUGGAUUGAAGAUGUAAAUGUGAGACCUGAAACCAUAAAAAUCCUAGAAGAGAACACAGGCAGUAAAUUCUUUGACAUCAGUCAUAGCAAUCUUUUUCUAGAUCUGUCUCCUGAGGCAAGGGAAACAAAAAGCAAAAUAAACUAUUGGGACUACAUCAAAAUAAAAAGCUUCUGCACAUUGAAGGGAACAGUCACCAAAAGUAAAAGGCAACCUACAGAAUGGGAGAAGAUAUUUGCAAAUGACAUAUUCAAUAAAGGGUUAGUAUCUAAAACAUAAUAAAGAACUGAUACAGCUCAACACCCAAAAACCAAAUAAUCCAAUUAAAAAAUGGGCAGAAGGCAUGAACAGACAGGUACAUGAAAGGAUGUUCAUCAUUACUUACCAUCAUGGAAAUGCAAAUCAAAACUACAGUGAGAUAUCACCUCAAACCUGUCAGAAUGGUUAAAAUCAACAACACAAAAAACAACAGGUGUUGGCAAAGAUGUGAAUAAAAAGGAACCCUUGUGCAUUGUUGAUGGGAAUGCAAACUGGUGUAACCACUGUGGAGAACAGUAUGGAGAUUUAUCAAAAAGUUAAAAAUAGAACUACCCUACAAUCCAGUAAUCACACUAGUAGGUAUCUACCCAAAGAAUACAAAACACUAAUUCUAAGGGGUACAUGUACCUGUAUAUUUAUAGCAGCAUUGGUUACAAGAACCAAAUUACAGAAGCAACCCAAGUGUCCACUGAUAGAUAAAUGGAUAAAGAAGAUGUGGAGUAUAUGUACAAUGGAAUAUUAUUCAGCCAUGAAAGGGAAUGAAAUCUUGCCAUUUGUAGCAACAUGGGUGGAGGUAGAGAGUAUAAUGCUAAGCAAAAUAACUCAGAGAAAGAUAAACACCAUAUGAUUUUACUCAUGUGAAAUUUAAGAAACAAAAAACAAAGGGAAAAAAGCGGGGGGCAGGGGGUGCCUGGGUGGUACAGUUGGUUAAGCGUCUGACUCUUGGUUUCACUCAGAUCAUGAUCUCAGGUUCAUGAGAUUGAGCCCGACAUCAGGCUCCGUACUCAACGUGGAGUCUGCUUGAGAUUCUCUCUCCCUCUCCCUCUCCCCUUCCCACUCAUGCUCGCUCUCUCUCUCAAAUAAAUAAAUAAAUCUUAGAGAGAGAGAGACCAAGAAACAGACUCUUAGUUAUAGAGAACAAACUGAUGGUUACCGGUGGGGAGGAGGAUGGGGGAUGGGUUAAGUAGGUGAUGAGGAUUAAGGAGGACACUUAUCAUGAUGAUGACUGGGUGAUGUGUGGAAUUGUUGAAUUACUACGUUGUAUACCUGAAACUAAUAUAACACUAUAUUAACUAACUGGAUUCAAAAUUAAAAAAAUAAAAGGAAAGCCAAGAGGGAUACCUUUUAAGUUGGUGUGAUGAUGAGGAAUUUGAUGUAUUCAUUCUUAGAUCCUGAUAAAUACAGAUGUCUGAAGAAUCAGACAGUGAAGGUAUGGAAAUGAAAUUAGUGAUGCCAGGAAGAAGCAGAGAAUGGGGGAAAGGGGGAAUAGUGAAGUGGAAGAAGUGAAACAAACAAGUUGCAAUAGAAAGAAGGCCAAAUGGGAAACCUAAGUGCCUGUGGAUACAGGCCUGUCUUUAGCAGAGACCAAAGAGCUGUGUUAGAUCUGCUCAAACUCAAAGCUAAGUACUUUGAAAUGCUUUGUCAUGAUUAUACGGGCCAGAAGUCAAAAAAAGAGUUGGCUUUGGAAUAGUUAACAAAGAGUCCAUGCUUCAAGGAUCUAGAUUCUAGACAACUCUAGACAGAAGUCAUCAUAUAUCUAACCCCCUUCUUGACCCAUCAUAGAAUUUACUUCAAGUAAGAGUGGAUUAAAGAAAUUUUCUGACCCUAUUCCCAGCAUGUAUGCUCUUGGACUAUAUCCACUUCUUCAUUUUACUGCCAAGUUGUAGAGUUCUUGUCCCAUUUUUAGAAAUUCUUGUCUUACUAUACAGAAUGUACUAUGUACUAUUAGACAAAAUUGCUCAGAAUUUGAUGUAUUUAAUAUUUCCAAAGAGAGAGUAUAUGAUGGAGCAGCCCUAAUAAGUAAUGAGUAUUUUUGAAUUGAGAUUAUCAAUAAUAAUCCUAUUUCCCAUUUUUAAUAAAAUUAUACAAUUUUUAAGAAUACAUUAAAUAGGGUGCGGGGGUGGUUCAGUCGGUUGAGCAUCUGCCUUCGGCUUGGGUUGUGAUUUCAGAGUUCUGGAUUUGAGCCCCCAUCAGGCUCCCUGCUCAGUGGGGAGUCUGCUUCUCCCUCUCUCUCUGCCUUUCCUCCCUGUUUGUGUUCUCUCUCUCUCAAAUGAAUAAAUAAAAUCUUAAAAAAAAAAAAAGAAUACAUUAAACAAAAGACCUGUAGAAUCUCUGCAUUGGAAACAGUAAAACAUUACUGAAAAAAUUAAAGAAUACGUGCAUAAAUGAAGAGACAUGACUUGUUCAUGGAUUGGAAGACUCAAUUAAAGGACAAUUAUCCUCAAAUUGAUCUAUAGAUUGAACAUAAUCCCUACCAUAUUCACACAGGUUUUUUUUUUCUCCCCCCACACAGGCUUUUUAAAUAAAAUUGACAAGGUGAUUCUACAAGUUAUGUGGAAAUAUAAAAGUUGAGAAUUUCCAAAACAAUCAUAAAAUCAUAGCUGGAGGCCUUGACCUCAUAACAUGACCAUACAUUACAAUAACCAAAACAGUGUGGUGCUGCUAUAAGGAUCAACAAAAAGAUAAAUGCAACUGAACAGAGAAGCCAGAAUAGACCCACAGUUAUUUUGUCAUUUGAUUUCAAACAAAGAUUCAAAGCAACCCAAGGAGAAAGGAAAGCUUUUCAAUACAUACUGCUGGAACAACUGGAUA